UUUUCUCCACUCCAAUCAUACAACAUAGUGAACACAUACACAUCCACAGAGACCGAAAAAAAAAGUGAGAAAAUAAAAAGAAGAUGUGAAAUCGAUAAAAAAUAAGUUAAAAAACAAAGGUUAUUAUUUUGAUUUUCCGGCGAAAUUUCGCCGGAAAAAUAACAUAACUACUGCUGCUGCCAUUAAUGGCAAAACCGCCGCCGGAACCAACACGGCCAGAUCUGGCCGGAUUUUCUUCAAUCUCCGACGAAAAACUGAUGGACAACCAUGUGCCGCUCCCUUUUUCUCUCCGUUUUCCGUUACCAAAAACGCUGCGCCUUGCCGAAUUUAAUCAUCGGCAGGCGCACUUCUACCAGUCCCGUCACGCGCCAUAUCCUAUCCCCGAAAUCCGGCGAAAAUCACUUUACUGCUUGUAGUUUUGUUGCUUUCUUUUUAAC
rnacentral:lncRNA from 1 species